rnacentral:rRNA from 1 species
GGUCGCCUCCCAAAAGGUAACGGAGGCGCUCAAAGGUUCUCUCAGUACGGUCGGAAAUCGUACGUAGAGUGUAAAGGCAAAAGAGAGCUUGAUUGCAAGCCAUACAGGUCGAGCAAGGAUGAAAAUCGGACUUAGUGAUCCGGUGGUUCUGCGUGGAAGGGCCAUCGCUCAACGGAUAAAAGCUACCCUGGGGAUAACAGG